AUUGAACGCUGGCGGCAUGCCUUACACAUGCAAGUCGAACGGCAGCACGGGAGUAAUCCUGGUAGGCGAGUGGCGAACGGGUGAGUAAUAUAUCGGAACGUGCCCAGUCGUGGGGGAUAACGUAGCGAAAGCUACGCUAAUACCGCAUACGAUCUAUGGAUGAAAGCGGGGGAUCGCAAGACCUCGCGCGAUUGGAGCGGCCGAUAUCAGAUUAGCUAGUUGGUGGGGUAAAAGCUCACCAAGGCGACGAUCUGUAGCUGGUCUGAGAGGACGACCAGCCACACUGGAACUGAGACACGGUCCAGACUCCUACGGGAGGCAGCAGUGGGGAAUUUUGGACAAUGGGCGAAAGCCUGAUCCAGCAAUGCCGCGUGCAGGACGAAGGCCUUCGGGUUGUAAACUGCUUUUGUACGGAACGAAAAAGUCUGCCCUAAUACGGUGGGCUCAUGACGGUACCGUAAGAAUAAGCACCGGCUAACUACGUG
rnacentral:rRNA from 1 species